rnacentral:rRNA from 1 species
UACGGGGGGGGGCUAGCGUUGUUCGGAAUUACUGGGCGUAAAGGGCGCGUAGGCGGUCUGCUAAGUUGGAUGUGAAAACUCUGGGGCUUAACCCAGAGCCUGCAUUCAAUACUGACAGGCUAGAGUUCUGGAGGGGAUAGCGGAAUUCCUGGUGUAGCGGUGAAAUGCGUAGAUAUCAGGAGGAACACCGGUGGCGAAGGCGGCUAUCUGGACAGAGUCUGACGCUGAGGCGCGAAAGCUAGGGGAGCAAACAGG